UACAGAGGGGGCAAGCGUUGUUCGGAAUUACUGGGCGUAAAGGGCGCGUAGGCGGAAGUUUAAGCGGUGCUUGAAAGCCCCCGGCUCAACCGGGGAGAGUGGUGCCGAACUGGACUUCUUGAGGGCGAUAGAGGAGAGUGGAAUUCCGGGUGUAGCGGUGAAAUGCGUAGAGAUCCGGAGGAACACCAGUGGCGCAGGCGGCUCUCUGGGUCGGCCCUGACGCUGAGGCGCGAAAGCUAGGGGAGCGAAUGGU
rnacentral:rRNA from 1 species